GUAAAAUGUGUGUGUGUGUGUGUUCUUUAAAAGGCAGUGGUUGGCUGGUUUUCCGGACAUGAUGUGGUUGAAGCUGUCAUCGUAAUGGAAAUUCAUUGCUGUAGCUAUGGUAAAUCGAGUUUUCUGCCUGUGCUGAAUGCAUUAGUCUAAUGAGAUGUUUGCAGCUGGAGAGUGGAGCUGCUGGAGAUGUACGGUGUGCUAACGGACAGGGAGAAGAUGGCUUAUGGAAUGGUCUGUGUGCACGUGCUCCAGGUCCUCUACUCUUUGGACCAAAAUACCUGGUGUCUGUAAAGAAGCGGAUCCAUCAUUUAACCUAAGCAAUAGCUCCUUUACUUAUGAAUCAUUUGCCAACGCUGCCUCCAAGACUGGAUACUAUUGACAUGCAGUCUCCCAGAAUACCAGGUAGAAAAAGAGGAAGGCCCCCACUCCAUUCUACUCCAAUGAAAAUGGCUGUUCAUAAUCUUUAUUCAGCGCCAGCUGGCUCUCUGCCAGUUGUGAAGAUCCCAAAGAAGCGAGGAAGGAAACCUGGAUAUAAGCUGAAAUCUCGUGUUCUAAUGACUCCUUUAGCAAUCUCCCCACCAAGAAGCACACCAGAACCGGAUAUUAGUUCAAUCCCUCAGGAUGCAGCCACAAUCCCCAAUUCAGCAGCCCCACAAGCCCUCACAGUCUGCAUUUAUGUCAACAAGCAGGCAAAUGUGGGGCCAUACCUUGACCGAAAGAAAGUGCAGCAACUUCCAGACCACUUUGGGCCUGAACGGCCUUCCAUGGUGCUACAGCAGGCCGUUCAAGCGUGCAUUGACUGCGCACACCAGCAAAAGACGGUCUUCUCACUUGUCAAGCAGGGCUAUGGAGGCGAAAUGGUGUCAGUUUCUGCUUCUUUUGAUGGGAAACAGCACCUCUUGAGCUUGCCAGUAGUGAACAGCAUUGGUUACGUUUUGCGGUUCCUCAAAAAGCUUUGCCGUAGCUUAUUGUGUGACAAUCUUUUCAGCAAUCAGCCUUUCCCGCAAUAUAACACUUCUGAAAACCCAGAAGAAUAUGAAAAUGGACGGAUGGAAUCAGAAACAGUCAUACCUGAAGAUUACCUGGUUGAUCCAGUGACCACAAAGCAUUACAAUGUAGAUCCCUCUGAUUCUGCCUUUAAUUGUAUGGGCUCCAUGUAUUCAGUGAGGCAGACUGCUGGAGAUGGACGCCAUGGUGGAGGUUCUUCUUCAUCUUGUAGUCAUCGUUCUAGUCAGAUGCCUUCUGGAGGACCAUCAACUACUGGUCUGAGGCAUCAGACAUCAAGUCCCACUCGAAAUGGAACCUAUCUGGAAGGAAACAGAAGUGCCUCAAGUCCUUCACCAGAAAGACUGGAUUCAGCUCGGCCCACAAGCAAGAAUCCGUUGACCUGGACUGUGGAUGAUGUGGUUUGGUUUGUGAAGGAUGCCGACCCACAUGCCCUAGGACCUCAUGUGGAGCUCUUCAGAAAACAUGAAAUUGACGGCAAUGCUUUGUUGCUACUGAAAAGUGACAUGAUCAUGAAAUAUUUGGGUCUGAAGUUGGGACCAGCACUGAAACUCUGUUAUCACAUCGAUAAACUGAAGCAAGCCAAGUUCUAAUGGUUUUUUUGAAGUCAUCAAACAAUUCCAGAGUAACUCAAGAAAGUAGAUAAAAGAUGACUGAUAGCUGGGAGUGAACAGUGCUUAAGUGUUCCAAGAGGUGAAAAGAACAUGGAGAUAAAAUGUCCACAGAACUAGAAACAGCAGGAUAAUGAUGUAUUAGCAGCUGUACCACUAGUUCAAUAUCUUCCGUGACAGUAUGUAAGGACCAAUUCCAAUGUAACAUUCAAAAUCCACAGAAUUGCUCCUGGGUGGAUUCCUGUCGCUGCAGUCACAUGAAACUAUUUUCUUGAAAUGGAUCAUCCCCACAGCCUGAUGAUAGUUCCAGGAGCUACAUUCAUAGGAACUUUGUAGGCCCCCUUGAGUAAACGGUUAAUUUCAUAUAUCCUUGGGUUUGGGGUGGCCGGAAAUGACCUCCGAGGUCAUUGAUGGCUGCCAGGUGGUGAAAAGGAGCCAUUUUGUGGCUCAUUUGGUACUUUAAAAAAAAAAAAAACACCCUGUGAUUUUUGGGAAAAAAAUCCACUGAAUUUGGGGCUUUUGCAGGGCAUUUCUGGACACCUGGAGACCCACGGAGCACAGUAGGGCAUUUCCCCCCCCCCCAAUUUUCUGGCCCUUUCCCACCAUUUUAUGCCAUUUUUUUAGCUGCUCCAGGAAUGACACCCCGAGUCCCAUUGACUCAAUGACUCCGUAUCAGUGGUUCCAUUAUCCACGGCUUUAGCAGAGAACAGAACCCCCCAUGGGGUUCACCUGCAUUUCAAUGGCUGUCCAUCACACAACUCCCAUUUGUGCAAUUCCAUGUGUUUGCACAAGAACACUCUUGUGCAGCUGACUUCACAUUUGUUAAAACACACAUGGAACUUUGUGCAGCAUGUCAGCCACUUUCAUGUGUCAGCCACCAUGUGCAGAGCUAUGCUGUUGAUACAGCAUGUUGCUUUGGAACACAUUACAAGUGUGGCUCAUAUGGACAAUGACCAGAGUUCCACAUGUGCUCUGAUGCACAAAUGAAGUUCUGUGUUCACGCAUCAGCCAAUCUGUGCAUGCAAGUCAGCUUCCUCCUUUGAUUUGGAUUGGGAAGACUGUGCAGCUUGAAAAAAAUCUGUGUGCACAUUGGAGCUCAUGGGCCAGCAAGUGAUCACUAGAUUAGGAUGAAAAAUCCCAUCCCAGUCCUGAAUGCAUCAGAAGAACUGAAGAGCAGAGCAAUAAUGGGGUGUUCAUUUCCACAUCUAGCAAGCUAAUGUGUGAGGAUAAAAGGGAUAUUAGCACAAGUUCAUCUAAACAACUAGAACUAACUUCAACAUGUAUGGUUUGUAUGUGACUAUACAUAGUAUCUCCAUACAGCAUAAACAUACCUCCCUGUAUAUAGUCCUAUAAAUAUCAAAUGCAGAUAAAUGCAAGUGAAAUAAAUACCUUAAGUUCAGCAUGUUCUGUAUGAGUGAGUUGGUUGUAUUCAUUUUUAACCUUGUGCAGUGCUUUAAAGUACACAUGCUACUAUAUACCAAGCGGCGUUAUGUCCAACUGUGUUUUGUUUCUCAGACAAAGCUUUUGAGUUUUUAUUAUGAUUAUUAUUAUUUGUAAUUUAUUCCUUCCAGUGGAUUCUCUGUCACUAUUUAUACGCAUGUUUUAAAUGUGUAAGUGUAUCUUGACUGUUCUAUGUGCUGGAUGCUGCUGUUCGCAUCUAAAUUAAACUGAGUAUUGCUGGCCUUAAUGAUUAUGAGUUCGUCCCAGAUUGAGUUUGCUUUGGUUUUAGUACCUGAAGCAGGAGGCUUGAGAUGCAGGCUCCUGAGAGUCUGUUUUUGAUACAGCAAAAGAGUCUCCACUUUCAAAUGGACGAUCCUUGAGCAAAGCCGGUGCUUUCUUUUACUAUUGCCAAAUGAUUUCUGUAUUUUUUAAUAAUGAAUAACAUUCACUUGGUUUUAUGUAUGUUUUAAUAAAUUGUCUAAUAAACUGUAUUUUUAAGUAAA